rnacentral:tRNA from 1 species
AGAGUUUUAAGUUAGGUGAAACUAUAAGCCUUCAAAGCUUAAAAAACGUGAAUUGUAGCGUAGAUUCUG